CAGCCGCCACGGUAACACCGAGGGUGCAAGCGUUAAUCGGAAUUACUGGGCGUAAAGCGCGCGUAGGUGGUUUGUUAAGUUGGAUGUGAAAUCCCCGGGCUCAACCUGGGAACUGCAUCCAAAACUGGCAAGCUAGAGUAUGGUAGAGGGUGGUGGAAUUUCCUGUGUAGCGGUGAAAUGCGUAGAUAUAGGAAGGAACACCAGUGGCGAAGGCGACCACCUGGACUGAUACUGACACUGAGGUGCGAAAGCGUGGGGAGAAAACAGGAUUAGAUACCCGCGUAGUCCCUGUCUCUUAUAC
rnacentral:rRNA from 1 species